UACGGGGGGGGCAAGCGUUGUUCGGAAUUACUGGGCGUAAAGGGUUUGUAGGUGGCUCGCUAAGUCAGACGUGAAAUCCCUCAGCUUAACUGGGGAACUGCGUCUGAGACUGGCAAGCUUGAGUGCAGGAGAGGAACGCGGAAUUCCAGGUGUAGCGGUGAAGUGCGUAGAUAUCUGGAGGAACACCGGUGGCGAAGGCGGCGUUCUGGACUGUAACUGACACUGAGGAACGAAAGCCAGGGGAGCAAACGGG
rnacentral:rRNA from 1 species